rnacentral:rRNA from 1 species
UGGGGAAUAUUGCGCAAUGGGGGAAACCCUGACGCAGCGACGCCGUGUGAGGGAAGAAGGUUUUCGGAUCGUAAACCUCUGUCGGAAGGGAAGAACCACACUUGGUCUAAUAGGCCUUGUGUCUGACGGUACCUUCAAAGGAAGCACCGGC